rnacentral:snRNA from 1 species
UUUGCUUCGGCCAUACAUACCAAAAUUGAAACGAUACAGAGAAGAUUAGCCAAGGCCCUACAAAAAGAUGACACAGACAAAAAGAAACGUGCACAUAUAUUU